CAUUGCGCUUCCUUACCACGCUGAAACAAUUCCUAUUGGUUAUUUAACUUAUUUGCUUUGAUCAUGAUUGGUUAAUCUGGCUGUCAUUCAUGAAACUGGCCAAUGAAACUGUGCGCGCCAUUUUAAGUUUGAAAAUAUGACCGUUAUCCUGACCGUCUUUCUGAGUGAGGUCGCUGUGAGUGAGAGAGCUGCUGCGCAAUAAAACUGCUAGGUCGGUCCCGAAUUAUAAUUAUAAUUAUUGUAUAAAAAACAUUUACCAUCAAGUUUCUAAUUUUAUGUACUGGUACUAUUUAUGUAAACGCUGCGUAACUUUCAUGUGUUUGAUGGAUGCGCGCGUUGAACAUUCGAGGCGCUUUUAAACUGGAGUGGAAGGAGUUUCCAUGGAAACCGGCCGGCAACUCAGCUGACAAGUAGCAAAAAAAAUCCGUCUUUCACUGUUGUUUUUACUGCUUUCAGAAAUGGUUCAGUGUCAUCGGAAAAAGUUCGUUAGCAUCACAGAGGCUAACUAGAAGAGAUUGUUUAUGUUCCUAUAUUCUUCCAUGCUGAUGGCCGUGCAGCAGAGUUGGAGGGGACCUUUUGUCGAAGAACAUCUCCAAGACACUAUGAGCAUCUGACUAGCUUUUUGUGAAGACAGAAAAUCAAGAGAUGUUGUGACAACCUGGACAGAAUUCAGCUCCAGAUCCACCCUCCACACCAGACUUCUCACUCACUCACUCACUCACUCACAAGGACUGCUGUCUACUAGCAUAUUGUGUUCUCUUCAGAGUUAGGUGCAUGGAGAAAUUAGCUCAUUUUUAGGUAUAAUGAAAACUAUAUCAUAUAUAUAUAUAUGAAGAGUUCAGAUGCAAAAGCCUCUAAGUGCCAUCUGAAAUUUUCUUCUAAAAUGAGCAUUUUUCUCAAGCUCCUAUAUUUAUGUUCAGUUAUUUCAUUUUAAUUGCAUAGAAAAGGACCUAUAUAUUGCCAUUAGAGUAAAAUAACUGAACCUAAACAUAGCAGCCUGAUCAAAAUGCUCAUAGUCAACAGUCAAUAAAGUGCUUUGUUGUUGAGUGAGAAUUUUCUCAAGAAAUUCUGUGAAAGUGUUACUAUAUACUGUAUAUUUAAAUUCUAAGAAAAUUAUUUUUCCAUU